GUGGUGGCUCAGUGAUAGAGCACCUGCCUAAUAUGUGCGAGACACUGGGUUCGAUUCCCAGCACCACA
rnacentral:tRNA from 1 species